rnacentral:rRNA from 1 species
AGAACGAACGCUGGCGGCAUGCCUAACACAUGCAAGUCGAACGAGACCUUCGGGUCUAGUGGCGCACGGGUGCGUAACGCGUGGGAAUCUGCCCUUGGGUUCGGGAUAACAGUUGGAAACGACUGCUAAUACCGGAUGAUAUCUUCGGAUCAAAGAUUUAUCGCCCAGGGAUGACGCCCGCGUAGGAUUAGCUUGUUGGUGAGGUAAGAGCUCACCAAGGCGACGAUCCUUAGCUGGCCGUGAGAGGAUGAUCGACGCCACACGUGGACUGAGACACCGGCCCACGACCUCCGUACGGGAGGCAGCGAGGUAGGGAAUAGUGGCGAAGU